rnacentral:rRNA from 1 species
CCUACGGGAGGCAGCAGUGGGGAAUAUUGCACAAUGGGGGAAACCCUGAUGCAGCGACGCCGCGUGAGUGAAGAAGUAAUUCGUUACGUAAAGCUCUAUCAGCAGGGAAGAAAAUGACGGUACCUGAGUAAGAAGCACCGGCUAACUACGUGCCAGCAGCCGCGGUAAUACGGAGGGGGCACGGGUUAUCCGGAUUUACGGGGUGUAAAGGGAGCGGAGACGGUUCGCCAAGUCGGGAGUGAAAUGCCGCGGCUUAACUGCGGAACUGCUUUGGAAACUGGCGAACUAGAGUUCGGGAGGGGUGAGGGGAAUUCCUGGUGUAGCGGUGAAAUGCGUAGAUAUUAGGAGGAACACCGGUGGCGAAGGCGGCUUACUGGACAAUAACUGACGUUGAGGCUCGAAAGCGUGGGGAGCAAACAGGAUUAGAUACCCGGGUAGUC